AGACGGCAAUACUCAGGCUAGGAGCCGCUGCACUAGGUGCUAGGGACCCACUGAAUUUUCACCAGAGCAGUGGCUUGGUCAGAUCUCUAUUUCCAGAAACAUCGCCCUGGAAUCCUUUCCUUGGCGUGGAAGGAGAAGUUGACCCCGAAGAGUUACUCAGUCAAGGGCGACUCAUUGCUCCACUCUAAGGUUUCUCUAAGCACAGGGCGGUGGCGAAAGGGAAGGGCUGCAGGGUGGAGUCCGGCACCAAGACCUCCCGGCCCGGCUUCUAGCAGCACACGGACGCUUGAGAUGAUUUCUUCUGAAAACGGGCAGUGGUUGAAAACCACUGCUUCAAAACACAGACUGGAGGAGUGGUAAAUACUAACGAGGAGUUUUAGCAAUGGACUCUGUUAACAGAGUCUGGUCGCCUGAGAAGGGCCUCGGAGGACUGGCCAGGUUGGAGAACGAUUUCAACUGCGUACUGGACGACACACAGAAGACUGCGGGGAGCCUUAGCCCCUACCCGGCCUGCAGUGCUCUCUGGGGCACACGGCAGCCCCACGACGCCUUUGGGUUUC
rnacentral:lncRNA from 10 species